GCGUUUGACUGUUAACGGACUCCGUGCUCUGAAGCUCUCAGUAUAGUAAUCUAUUUCUUUAAUAACAAAAACCACACCUUUCUCCAUAUCAAAUCAGUUGUUAGAACCCUAGAUUCAUCCCAUCCAAUCCUUUCCUUUCCUUUCCACUAUCAUGUUUCCCUUCAAAUCGCGCCAGUCACAAAUGCUGGACUCCAUGUAUUCCAUGAUCGCCCUCGUCUUCAUUCUCGUCGCCUGCGUCGAGCUUUGUGACGCUGCCACCGUCGUCGACGUCUACCGUCUCAUUCAGUACGACAUCUCUGGCGUCCCCUUCGGAUCUCGCCUCGCUACCCUCAAUCAUCACGCCGGCUCCUUGCAUUUCACUCCUGGUGCCGAUCUUUCGCGUACUGUCGUCAUCAUCCCUAUUCGCGAACUCAACAUUACUUUUGUCAAAGAGUAUAUUACUCAAAGAAAGCCUCUGGGAGGAUUGUUGUUUUUGCUUCCUCAAAUCUUUGAUUUUGAAGAUAGAGGUGCCACGGGGAGUGAGGAUCAGGUGCAUGAAAAAGGGCUGAUGAAGACUGUAUUGGCAGAGCUUGAAAAAUUACUUAUACAUGCCAACAUACCUUAUCCUGUGUAUUUCGCUUUUGAGAAUGAUGACAUUGAUACUGUGUUGUCUGACAUCAAGAGGAAUGAUGCAACUGGUCAACCAGCUACUGCAACUACUGGCGGAUACAAGUUUGUUGUCUCCGCACCAGAACCUAAGAGAAUUGAAUCUCCCACAAUCACAAACAUUCAGGGAUGGUUACCAGGCUUGAAAGCAGAUGGAGAUCCAAAUCAACUUCCAACCAUUGCUAUUGUAGUAUCAUAUGAUACAUUUGGGACUGCUCCUGCAUUAUCAGUUGGAACUGAUAGCAAUGGAAGUGGCGUUGUGGCUCUUCUUGAAAUAGCUAGGUUGUUUUCUCUUCUUUAUUCAAAUCCUAAGACAAGAGGAAGGUAUAAUUUACUUUUUGGGCUAACGUCUGGUGGACCUUAUAACUACAAUGGAACUCAAAAGGUGCUUGCCAUCCAUUGUUUCUACAUUUGUUACCUUUCCUAUGAACUUAAAUGCCUCAUCUACUUUUUCUUUUAUCCUAGUCCACUUUUGUUAUUGUUUCAUCUCCUGCAGUGGCUACGGAGCUUUGAUCAACGCCUACGUGAGAGCAUUGACUAUGCUAUUUGCUUAAAUAGCAUUGGCUCAUGGGAUAAUGAAUUGUGGAUUCAUGUGUCUAAGCCUCCAGAAAAUGCCUAUAUUAAGCAAAUUUUUGAAGUUGAUGGAAAUUUUUAACAGAAUGGAUUUUAACAAUUUCACUGAGUAGAGCUACCAUUUUUUAUGGUUUGACAUGGAGUAUUCUACAGGGUUUUUCUAAUGUAGCAAAAGAGUUGGGGCUCGAAGUUAGUCUGUAACACAAGAAAAUCAAUAUUUCAAAUCCUAGACUUGGGAGCAUGAACAAUUUUCAAGGCUGAGGAUCACUGCUGCCACACUUUCUGAGCUCUCUGCGGCUCCUAAAAUAUUAGAAAGCACUGGAGGUCUUUCAGAUAUCAGAUAUUUUGUAAAUGAUACAGCAAUUGCCAGAAGUAUUAAUUUAGUUGCUGAGAGUAUUGCGGUAAGGUUAAUUCAUCAGGAUAGAUAAUGAAUUGAUUCUGAUGUUUCUACUUCUGAAUGUGUACAUAUUGUUCCAAGGCCAACCCCAUGAGGAAGUGCCUCACCAGGAGCAAGUUCAUGAGCACCAAUUUUGUGUCCAUGUGUGUGACUGCGUGUAUGCGUAAGGACAUGUUUGUACAAUCAUAUGCUUAUAGUUAUUUUUUCCCUGGAUUUUCAGAUUAGUAAAUUGUUUAUUAUUGGCAACUUGUAGGCUGAGCAUAAAUCAAAGAAACUGAGACCAACUUUUGGUUUUUGUUCUCUAAUGUAUCCCUUUCCUUCUGAUUGUGUACAGAGGCAUAUCUACAGUCAUCAAGGGGAGAACAUAAAAGUCUUUGCAGAUGACAGUAGUUUGUCUGUAAAUCCUUCUUACAUAAGGUCAUGGUUGGAUCUUUUGUCUAGAACACCUCGAGUGGCACCGUUUCUUUCAAAAAAUGACCCAUUUGUGAUGGCAUUGAAGAAGUGGGAUGAGCUGCCAGCUGUGUUGGGAGCACUUAAUUGUCAUGUGUUCAUGAGGAGCUGCUCAACUUAUGGAUGCUAUCACUUGUUAAAUUUGAUGCCAUAUGACAAUUUUAAUAAAUUGGUUGAGCAGUGGAUUUUCAUGUGUUUAGGAUUUGAUGGUGCUAGGGAUAUUGGAUGAUUGGAAGAGGUAAUGAAUCUAGCACAUAUAGUGAUACCAGGAAGUAGAAAGGAACUGAACACUUCUUUUCAACAUAUUUCUCAUUUAAUUGGCCAUUAAUUAAUUAAUCCUUUGGCAGGAACUAGAAGAUCAUGCCCAUGAAAUAAAUGUACAAAUUGAAGUCCUUGAUGGGAUGUUCACAUUCUAUGACUCAACUAAAGCUAAGCUAAACAUAUAUCAGGUUGCUAGUGUAACAUUUGAUUUGCUGUUGCUUCUGGUGCUGGGAUCAUAUUUGAUAGUGCUAUUUAGUUUUCUCAUCAUCACAACUAGGGGUCUUGAUGAUCUUAUAAGCUUAUUCCGACGGCCUCCCUCUCGUAAGGUGAAAACAGCUUGAUGAUUGAAGCUGGAUUUGGGCAUUGAAGAAUGUCUUGUUGAAGAUCAUCUCUUGUAGCUUGGAAUUUUACACUUCUGGGAGGACUUCGUUGGGGAUCGCUAGCAAUGUGUUGUCGAUUAGUUCAAAACCACGGGGAUCAUUUUAUUUUUGGUCCUAGGAAGAUAUUUGUAGUUUAUUUGCCAAAAUGAGAACUAUUGACAUAGCUGCUAGAAAAAUUUUGUUAAGAUACAAUUUCAAGCCAAAAUACCAUUGCCAGCAUUUUUGUGAAGGAUCACAAACAAUAUUGGGAUUAUGUGAUGCUUGCUUUGUGCAUGAUGAUUGAAUUGGCCAGCUUCGCCGUUUUUCUCUUUUUCCUUCCUGGGAGUGCUAGAUUCACCAGUUAAAUAUGUGCAGGCCCUAACAUUGCUAUGAUUAGUUUCAAAUACUAGUAAUUAGAGGAUAUAUUUGGAUUGUGCAAGUUUUCAUUAUGUCAGUGAUCACAUUCUAGGUUAAAGAUGCAAAAUACAAUCCUAGACUUCAUGUUGUUAGCAGGCGGUUUACAGAAUUGACUGCGAUUGUAUAAAAAAUACAUUUUUUUUAUUUAAGUAAUCAUAAUAAUAAGAAUAUGGCGUAGUCUGCA
rnacentral:misc_RNA from 1 species